GCCUGGGUUCCAGACAGCGGCCAUCCACGCAGGGCGCUGCCAAGCCGCGGAAAGUGGACCGUGGAAACGGCCUCUCCAACUCUGACAAGGGUGGAUCCCCGCCUCAGCUCAGCCCCGGAGUCAGACCCCAGAAGUCGUCGCCCAGGGGCCCCACGAUCGCCCCUACGCAGGCAGGGACUUGCAAAGCGCUCCUGGGCGAACUGUGGAGGGGCAGGGGCAGAAACCUACCUGGCCGCGGAGCUGGAGGCGGUGGCUGUUCCUCGCCCCUGCUUUCCCAGCGGGAUGCCGAACAGCAGAAGUGAAGCUCGCUUGGGAAUCUCGUCGCGGAAAUCGACGGUGAAAUCCGGAACAGAAACCCAGCGCAGGGGAAGAAGCCCACCACAGGCCUGGGCUGAAACUGGCGCUCUCACAUCUGGUGUCUCUCCUGCACUCCAGACUUCCGCCGCACGCUUCUUAAAAAGGGGCCAUUGAACGCUACAGCCGGAGCCUGGAGUCAGAGACGGACCUUUCAGCAUGUGGAGGCGAAAAUAAUGGCUCCCCGUGGGAAUCAGAGCGAUGGGACUACAGAGUUUGUCCUGGCAGGCUUCCCGAAUCUCAACAGCACAGGAGUGGGGCUCUUCUCUGUGUUCUUCCUUAUUUACGCGUUGACUCUAACGGGCAACGUGUUGAUUGUG
rnacentral:lncRNA from 1 species